AUAGCUAGUUGUGUCACUUGAUGCAAUAUCGACUAUGUUGAAUAAAGUUCUAGGUAGUAUUAUGAUAAUGACAUUGUCUGCCUAUGUGUCUUGACCAAAUUACGUGCCAGCAGUCGCGGUAAUACGUAGAAGACUAGUGUUAUUCAUCUUUAAUAGGUUUAAAGGGUACCUAGACGGUAAAUCAAGCUUUUAACAGGACUAAUUUACUAGAGUUACUUGUGAGGGGGCAUUAAAGUACUGCUGGUGUAGAGAUGAAAUUUUUUGAUACCUUUUCCUAAGAAGGGGAAAUGACGGCACAGGUAUAGGCGUAAGCAUCCCCUUAUGUGAUAACUGACGUUGAAGGACGAAGGCUUUUUGUAGCGAACAGGAUUAGAUACCCUAAUAGUCAAAGCAGAUAAUGAUGAAUGUCAUAGAUUAGACAUAUAGUUUAUUCUAUAAAUGAAAGUGUAAGCAUUCCACCUCAAGAGUAAUUUGGCAACAUUGGAACUGAAAUCAUUAGACCGUUUCUGAAACCAGUAGUGAAGUAUGUUGUUUAAUUUGAUAAUCCGCAAAAAACCUUACCACAAUUUGAAUAUUUAUGUUUUUGUAAAAGAAAGGAUAUCUACAAGCGUUGCACGGCUGUCUUCAGUUAAUGUCGUGAGAUUUUGGUUAGUUCCAUAAAAUUAACGUAAACCCUUACUUUAUUUUUAGAUAAAGUAGU
rnacentral:rRNA from 1 species